AUUCACAUGUGCACACCUUUGGUCGCAAAUCCACACACACCUGUGCAUCUAYGACUCGAGGUUGUAAUGACUGAGAGUAACUUUUAUACACUCUUGUAUGUAAUGGAAUGUCUUUUUGUGCUAUAAUGUACAAUAUAAACAACUUUCAACAACGGAUCUCUUGGCUCUCGCAUCGAUGAAGAACGCAGCGAAAUGCGAUAAGUAAUGUGAAUUGCAGAAUUCAGUGAAUCAUCGAAUCUUUGAACGCACCUUGCACCCUUUGGUAUUCCGAAGGGUACGCCCGUUUGAGUGUCAUUGUAAUCUCACUUCUACAACUUUAUUGUUGUUUGAAUGUGGACUUGGAUGUUGCCGUUUUAUCACGGCUCGUCUUAAAUGCCUGAGUGUACCCUGUUUUGCAGCGUAUCCAGUGUAAUAAACAUUUCACUAGAGUUGGUYGAAAGACCRCGUUGACUAUAUGGGCUCUAUGCUUCAAACCGUCUGCCAUGUGGACAAUUUCUUGACAAUUUGACCUCAAAUCGGGUGGGACUACCCGCUGAACUUAAGCAUAUCAAUAAGCGGAGGAAAAGAAACUAACAAGGAUUCCCCUAGUAACGGCGAGUGAAGAGGGAAAAGCUCAAAUUUUAAAUCUGGUGUCUUUGACUCCCGAGUUGUAAUCUAGAGAAGUGUUUUCCGUGUCGGACCGUGUACAAGUUCCCUGGAACGGGGCGUCAUAGAGGGUGAGAAUCCCGUAUAUGCCACGGACUACCGAUGCUCUGUGAUACACUCUCAACGAGUCGAGUUGUUUGGGAAUGCAGCUCAAAAUGGGUGGUAAAUUCCAUCUAAAGCUAAAUAUUGGCGAGAGACCGAUAGCGAACAAGUACCGUGAGGGAAAGAUGAAAAGYACUUUGGAAAGAGAGUGAAACAGUACGUGAAAUUGUUGAAAGGGAAGCGUUUGAAGUCAGUCGCAUCUGUUGGGGUUCAGCCUGGCUUUUGCCUGGUGUAUUUCCUUUCCGAUGGGUCAGCAUCAGUUUCGACCGAGGGAAAAAGACAUUUGGAAUGUGGCUGUCUUCGGGCAGUGUUAUAGCCUUGUGUUGUAUGUCUCGGUUGGGACUG
rnacentral:rRNA from 1 species